AAGUCGCCUAAGCCAUGCGAGUCAUAUGUUCUUCGUGAACAUGGCGUACUGCUCAGUAACACGUGGAUAACCUGCCCUUGGGUCCGGCAUAACCCCGGGAAACUGGGGAUAAUUCCGGAUAACGCAUAUAUGCUGGAAUGCUUUCUGCGUAAAAUGGAUUCGUCUGCCCAAGGAUGGGUCUGCGGCCUAUCAGGUAGUAGUGGGUGUAAUGUACCUACUAGCCGACGACGGGUACGGGUUGUGAGAGCAAGAGCCCGGAGAUGGAUUCUGAGACAUGAAUCCAGGCCCUACGGGGCGCAGCAGGCGCGAAAACUUUACAAUGCGGGAAACCGUGAUAAGGGGACACCGAGUGCCAGCAUCAUAUGCUGGCUGUCCGGGUGUGUAAAAUACACCCGUUAGCAAGGGCCGGGCAAGACCGGUGCCAGCCGCCGCGGUAACACCGGCGGCCCGAGUGGUGAUCGUGAUUAUUGGGUCUAAAGGGUCCGUAGCCGGUUUGGUCAGUCCUCCGGGAAAUCUGAUAGCUCAACUAUUAGGCUUUCGGGGGAUACUGCCAGGCUUGGAACCGGGAGAGGUAAGAGGUACUACAGGGGUAGGAGUGAAAUCUUGUAAUCCCUGUGGGACCACCUGUGGCGAAGGCGUCUUACCAGAACGGGUUCGACGGCGAGGGACGAAAGCUGGGGGCACGAACCGGAUUAGAUACCCGGGUAGUCCCAGCCGUAAACGAUGCUCGCUAGGUGUCAGGCAUGGCGCGACCGUGUCUGGUGCCGCAGGGAAGCCGUGAAGCGAGCCACCUGGGAAGUACGGCCGCAAGGCUGAAACUUAAAGGAAUUGGCGGGGGAGCACAACAACGGGUGGAGCCUGCGGUUUAAUUGGACUCAACGCCGGACAACUCACCGGGGGCGACAGCAAUAUGUAGGCCAAGCUGAAGACUUCGCCUGAAU
rnacentral:rRNA from 1 species